rnacentral:rRNA from 1 species
AGUAACGCGUGGAUAACCUGCCUCACACAGGGGGAUAACAGUUAGAAAUGACUGCUAAUACCGCAUAAGCGCACAGUCUCGCAUGGGACAGUGUGAAAAACUGAGGUGGUGUGAGAUGGAUCCGCGUCUGAUUAGGCAGUUGGCGGGGUAACGGCCCACCAAACCGACGAUCAGUAGCCGGCCUGAGAGGGCGAACGGCCACAUUGGGACUGAGACACGGCCCAAACUCCUACGGAAGGCAGCAG